rnacentral:misc_RNA from 1 species
AAAUGCGAUAAGUAAUGUGAAUUGCAGAAUUCAGUGAAUCAUCGAAUCUUUGAACGCACAUUGCGCCCGCCAGUAUUCUGGCGGGCAUGCCUGUCCGAGCGUCAUUUCAACCAUCAAGCCCCCGGGCUUGUGUUGGGGACCUGCGGCUGCCCGCAGGCCCUGAAAACCAGUGGCGGGCUCGCUGUCACACCGAGCGUAGUAGCAAUCACCUCGCUCAGGGCGUGCUGCGGGUUCCGGCCGUUAAACAGCCUUACAAAACCCAAGGUUGACCUCGGAUCAGGUAGGAAGACCCGCUGAACUUAAGCA